rfam:Nosema ceranae strain PA08 1199 NODE_6, whole genome shotgun sequence.
CUCGCUCUCAAAGUUAUCGGCUUUGAUCAAGUGUAGUAUCUGUUCUAGUCAGUUUAACACCUGACAUAUCCGCAAGGAGUUAAUAUUUAGAAAAGUAGAGAUGUAAAAUAGGAGAUGUGCUUGCAUAAUCACUAUUUUUUAUAGAUCUCUGGCACUUUGUGCAUUUUUUUAUUAAUUUUU